GGGGAUUUGGCUCGGUGGUAGAGCACUUGCCUAGUAAGCGCAAGGCCCUGGGUUCGGUUCCCAGCUCCA
rnacentral:tRNA from 1 species